UGACGGUACCCGCAGAAUAAGCCCCGGCUAACUUCGUGCCAGCAGCCGCGGUAAUACGAAGGGGGCUAGCGUUGUUCGGAAUCACUGGGCGUAAAGCGUACGCAGGCGGAUUGAUAAGUCAGGGGUGAAAUCCCGGGGCUCAACCUCGGAAUUGCCUUUGAUACUGUCUGUCUCGAGUUCGGGAGAGGUUGGCGGAAUUCCUAGUGUAGAGGUGAAAUUCGUAGAUAUUAGGAAGAACACCAGUGGCGAAGGCGGCCAACUGGCCCGAUACUGACGCUCAGUACGAAAGCGUGGGGAGCAAACAGGAUUAGAUACCCUGGUAGUCCACGCUGUAAACUAUGGAUGCUAGCCGUUGGGGAGCUUGCUCUUCAGUGGCGCAGCUAACGUCUUAAGCAUCCCGCCUGGGGAGUACGGUCGCAAGAUUAAAACUCAAAGGAAUU
rnacentral:rRNA from 1 species